GUUCUGCUGAUGUUCUCACAGAACUGAACUACACCUCCUGCCAGAUGGAAACAACAUCUCUUUUAACUUCCUCUGUGUGCUCCUCAAAACAUGAAUGACCUGUUUAUGUUCUUCACUGCAUAUUAAAUCUAAUUUCUAUAGCCUAGUUUUUACACUUUUUUAAAUCAGCUAGUUUAAUAUACACGCACAUGCAAGUUCUAACAAAAAAGUUCAUAUUUUCACUGCAAUUGUUAUAGUUUUGUUUGUUUUAUAUCCUCUGUCAAACAGUUGUUUGACCAAUGAACAAAUUAAUCAUUUGUGUGCUUUUAUAAUUUCCAUAUUAUUAAAUUUGAUAUCAUAAUCUAAUCUAUCUUCAAGUCUAAUAGCAGUAUUUUUGGCCUAUUUAAAUGUUACUUUUUUUAAAAAAAAAAACUACCUUCUGUCUUCAGUAUAUGAGUUUGAGCACAAAAUGUGCCCCAGAUCUGCCUUCUGUUAACAUGAAUUUGAGUUGUACAUGUGGUCACAUGAUCUACAUUCAUAGAACUGACUGCACAAUGGAUUAAAAUGGCUUCCUGUGGUCUGAUGCCCUACUUCCUAAUUCCUCUAUUGUAUGUGUCGUUGCUUUUCUGACACUCGCUGUAAUGGAGUUGAUCGUUUUCAUAGUGAUUCAGCUCCUGAUGGAGGUUCAGUCAUACACAUCUCCUACUGUAAAAGUAUCUCCAGAUGUCAUAAGAGAGUCCAGCUCAGUGAAGAUCAGCUGUGAGACGCCAGCUGUUCCUGUGGAUCUGUGUUAUUUCUACAUAAACAGUAAGGAGAAGAAUGUAAAAACCAGAUGGAGAUGUGAGCUGAAUCUCUCUGGUGCUGAAGUGUUCAGAUGGGCAGCUGUAAAAUCACCUGGAUCACUCAACAUUAUCUGUUACUACACAAUACAGGGGAUUAUUAAAACAUCACCUCAUUCUCCUCCUGCCACAGUGACGGUUUGAGGUGAGAAAUUUCACUGCUGUUAGAAAGUUUUUAUAACUGUGGUUUAUUUCUCUUCAGGUGCACUUCAGAAACCCUUCAUUAGAUUGUUAGUAAAGAUGAUUGUGAUUUUUGAGCUCUGUCCAAAUAUCUCUCUAAAAUCAUUUACAAAGACAUCCUUUUUAAAAACAUCCCAUAUAAUAAUCAUGAAUGACUCAAGUUACAUCACCAGUAUGUGACAUAUGGUAUUUUUUUAUAUUUUAGAGGACCUGUACCUUCAACAAACAAACUUUGCUUUAAAGUUUGCAAAUAAUAUAAACUCACACCCUGUAAUUCUGAUAAAUUAUCUCCACUGUUUUAACACUAACCACCACUAAACAAAGUACUUCAACAGCCAUUAAACCUGUGAGUGACUGAGUUUGUAAAUCAAAAAGGCCUUAUUUUUACUCCACCUUGAAUGUCCUCAAAUGUUAAUCAUUCCUUUACAAAAUCAAGUCAAGUGUAAAAUUAAUAUGUUGGAUUCAAAAGACAUUCAAAAAUAUAGCUGGGAUUCAUUUUCAAAAUUUGUGAUCAGUAUCUCAUAGUGGUGGCUCCUAAAGGUAAGCAGAAAUCAGAAAACACACAGAGAAUUUAACAAAGGCAAGUCUCAUGCCUGCAGGUAGAUGCUCCAAAUGAGCAGCAACAUUUUCAAGAUUACUUUGAUUAUGUCGUGGGGGGGGGGGGGGGGUUUCAACAUGGUUACUAUUUGUUUAAGAAUUAUGUAUAUUUUUAUUAACAUUCUAUUUUAUUAUCUUUUCAAAAGCUUUAACUCUAAUGUCCACUUCUGAAUCCACAACACACAGUAAAACUGGUAAGUUACUAAUAACACACUUUCUGUUUAUGCUGGAUUAAAUUUGACAAACGAUUCCUUUCUGAAAACAGAUUUCCCUUGCAAUUUGUUAUUUUAUACUACUAGACCUCCAAUCCAAGACAAACAGCAUGACAAAGGAAUCCAUGCGUAAGUUCAUCCACUCUUCCUCAGUAAUAAAAGUCAUUGUACAGAAUGAAUGUGUUGGAUUCAAAAGCUCAAAGUCAGCUGGCCCUUGUCAAUUUGUUAUUUUAUACUACUAGACCUCCAAUCCAAGACAAACAGCAUGACAAAGGAAUCCAUGCGUAAGUUCAUCCACUCUUCCUCAGUAAUAAAAGUCAUUGUACAGAAUGAAUGUGUUGGAUUCAAAAGCUCAAAGUCAGCUGGGGUCCAUUUUCAAAGUUUAUUCAUACAUAGUAAGCGGUAGCAGUCAGAGAACUCAACAAUCACAUGGUGGUUCAUGACUAUGCUGCUUUUUUCAGCAUGGCUACUAACUGAUUUACUUCAUACUGUAUCUGCAUCACGUAUCACAUCACAUGUGGCACAAUGUUCAUUCAGUCGACUGUUUUCACAGCAGCCUCUACUCUGCCUGAUUCCACCAGAGAGACAGAAACAUGUAAGCUAAAAUAUUUUUGCUUUGCUUAUUAGAGAAUAUUAAAUUUGUGUUAAAUGUUUCAAUAAAAGUACUAUUUUCUCACAGUGAUGUAAAGAUAGAAACACUGAUGUUUGUAAUCAUUAUAUGCGUUCAGUUUUUACUCUAAUAUGUAUUUAACUGUAUUCAAUCUUUUAAAUCUUUUAGAUUUAAUCUUAAGAUUCUUUUGAAUUCUUUUUACUCUAAUAUGAUUUAACUGAUUCAAUCUUUUAAUCUUUUGAUUUAAUCUUAAGAUCUUUUGAAUCUUUUCUGUUGUAGCUGUUCCUCACACUCUUCACACUGAAGGUUGUUCAUUCACUCACAACACAAAACUGCUAUUCUGAAUAUUUGUAUAAAAUAAAACUUUUAACUUUUCCCACCUUUUUGUGAUCAUAUGCAGUAUACACUGAAAAGAAUGGUUUGAGCUAUCUAAAAAAUUAUGGUAACAACAUUACACAUAAUAUUAUUGAAUAGUUUAAGGCUUGAUUCUUUUUUUUUUUAUAUAGAAUCUAACUAAAUAAAUCAUGUAAAAUCUCCUAAAUUAUUUAAUCUAUGAUACAAUGAAAUUAAUACUAUUAGUGAAAUGCACUCGUUUAUUUUAAGUUGAUUCCCAAAGGCCUGUGAUUUUGAGUAAGGCCUGUUUGUAUUUGACUUUGAGUUUUUUGUCCAAUUAAAAGAUUGUAUACAUCCGCACAGCUCAAGUAGGAAAAUGCUGAAAAAUACUGGACUAGCAUUAGCAAAGCUACUGCUCAGCAUCACACCUCACAGUGUUAGUAAGCAGUUAUCUAACCAUAAGCUCCACUCUUCUGCCCAGUGAUAACGUCAAAAACUUCAACGGAACAGAAACUCUUUCAAAUGUCAUACAUAACCGAACAUUAAACAUUAAUCCCUUCACACUCAAAAACAAAUUAUGCUAAUUCUAUUACAUAAAUAGGUAGCUGUCAUUCCUUAAUAUUUUUCAGUUUAAUCAGUUCCUCAAUUCAAGCCUCAAGACUGCUUAAGUGUUCUUAAAAACAUGGUUUUAUUAGUGGUUUUAUAAGUGAAAAGAUCUCAGUAUUUUCUAUAAAACACUGAACCACAAUUUCUUUAAUAAAAUAUACACACAAGUGGUUUGGUUAAUGACCUUCAAAGAUGGUUAAUAAUCCCCUUAAUUUUUUUUUAUAAAAAUUACAAGACACAUUAUUAUUAUUAUUAUUAUUUACAGUGUAUUGAUGUAAAAUUCAUUAAAUUACAAAAAUCUGCACACAAUUUACCUGAUUUAGCACCGUAUCCAUUCAUUUUUUUGCAAUAUAAAUAUGGAUUAAAUCUUUUUUUUUCUUUUGACAGACUCAUUGCUUUAUUUCUGUCUGGACUCGUAGGAUUCAUCUGUCUGUGCUGCUUUACCAGUAAGUACAAUGUACAGGUUUAGUUGUGCAUAAACUGAAAUCCAUGAUACAGAAACUUAUGAUAAUAAAGUUUGUAUCUCUGCAGGUUCUGCUGAUGUUCUCACAGAACUGAACUACAUCUCCUGCCAGAUGGAAACAACAUCUCUUUUAACUUCCUCUGUGUGCUCCUCAAAACAUGAAUGACUUGUUUACUUUCUUUACUUUUUGCACCUCUAUCACUGAUGUGUAUAUGUACAGCAGGAAUGAUAGCAUAAGCAUAUGUACAGUAUAUAGCUACUGAAUUCAUAUACUGAACAUCAGGCCAGAUAGAAUCUUUGGAGCUUUUUUCCACAUUUUCAUUUUGGGAGAAAAUGAAUUUAUAUUGUUAAAAUGCAUUAAAUGUUGUUCAUGGGAGUUCAGUGAUGCACACAUUUUAAUCAACUUUUAUAAUAAAUACAUGUACACAAGUUCUAACAAAGUCACAUUUCAACUGUACCAUGUUAGCCUAUAAGCAAUUUUACAAAAUUAGCAUAGUGCCUUGCUUGUUCAGUUUGUAUUAUCUGUCAAUAGUCUUAAUAAUGAACAACUGAACUGCCUUAGUCUGUUUGCAUGUUUUUAUACAUUAAUAAGCAAAUGUGUACCUACUGUAAAGUGAAUAAUAUAUUUCACAUUUUUAAUAAAUGGUUCAGGGGUUUUGGCACAUUUAAAUGUUACUUUAACAAUCUUUACUUGCAGACAAACAGGUUUUCAUUUUCAUUAUGCAUUGUGACCUCUACGGAGAGGAUGAUUUGUGGCAAGUCAUUAGCACAAUACUGCCUUGUAUACAAUAAAAGGUGAACUAAAAAAAAU
rnacentral:lncRNA from 1 species